CUCACUUACAGCCUGCGAGCACAAUUUCAAGCCUCUAUAAGAAAGAGUGAAGGAGAGCGUGUCAGUGAGGUCGUGAGGGGGAGGGGCCGGCAGACAGGAUUUGAAGUUCAAGUGCAUGUGGAGAAAAUGACCCAGAAGACGGCAAGAAGCGGGCUGGGAAAACCAGAGCGGAUAUGCGUUCCUCUUUCCUUUUUCCAAAGGUAGAAAUAUUCGCCCCAGAGUUCAGAAGGUGGGAUUGAACAAAACGAGCAAAGAAAAUCCAACGCUAGGAGACGAGAGCAAAGGCAAGAAAAUGUAUUCCGGCCCCCUCCCCUGAACGCUCCUCUACGGCUCACUCCUCCUCCUGUGACCCCCCUAGCCUUCUUUCUCUAUCUGUCGUUCCCUUUCCCCUCCCAUCUCCUCAUGCGGUCGCUGGCGUACACAUGCGCCUUCACCGCCUCCCUCUCUCUUUCUCUCUCCGUCCCUCUCCCGCGGCUGCAGAUCUCCUCGGCUUUCCUCUGGCAGAUUCGGACGGAGAAACAUGCGCAGCCACUCUGUGGUUCCCCCCUUUCUCGUGCCUCCCUUAAGAAAACCCUGGCCCCUAAAACGGCUUCCUUUCCUACUUGCCUCAGCGCCCGGUUACCAUCCGCUCUCCGCUGACCUUUUCGUAGCAGUUUCGGGGAAUUUUUGUUGACUGAUUUUCCGGCCCCAUCCCAAAAUCUCUGCAGUUCAAAGUGUCAAAGGAGGGCGGAAAGCAGUCCGGGGCGCUGAGCGAACAGUAGGAAAUGGGCUGAUGGGAUGGGUUAAAAAAAAUUAAGAGAAAAACGUGGUUUGGGAAGAAACGCUGAGAAGGGAGAAGUGACUGCUGCUGGGAUAGCAGACGGGAGACCCGGAGGAAUGAGAGACGAACGACUGAUGAGAUCAGCGAAAUCGCGGGAAAUGGAGGAGAAGACUCGACUGAUUGGAAGUCUUGUUUUAAUGGAAGAAACUGCGAUUAAUGAAUGCUUCGGAGUUGUCGCCACUAGUCCAUCCAUAAGACUGAAACGAUGAAAGGAAUUUCCGCAUGCACGGUCGCAGCCUCAACAGAUGUGAGAAGAAACGGGUCGGACGUGAUGCUGUGAUUUAGCCGUAUAUUUUCUUUUGUGUUAAAUCUAACAGGAGUUCCAGACAUCGGUGAUAUCAGCUUCAGGCCAUUUUGACGCAGCUGUCGGGGACAGAUCCCAUUGGCUGACUUUGUGCCCUGGCCACUCGGAGCGACGAAUCAAAAGCCAGCCUGGGUUCGUGGCCCCUAUACGUUUCUUCCGAGGAUGAGAUAUGGAGCCGCUCCAUGAAUCCAUUUUCUAGGCUGGCCUGCCAUCUCUUGCUCAUUAUUGUCAAAUGCAAAUAAAUGUUGCCCCGAAGCGGCUCACAUGAGACUGUGUUUUCUUUCAGCAAUGAAGAUAAUCAUAUUUUACAGUGAACUGGAACAUAUAGAGAGUGCAUGUGUUACAUACGUUAAUUUAAUUACAGUUAUAUCUGUCCAAUGCGUAGGCGAUGUUAUUCAUUAAAGCGCUGGAUGUGAUAGGUUUGUGAUAAUGUUGUCCUAUUUAAUUAUCUCAUGAAGAUACUUGUUUCAAUUCAUCCUGUCAUGAGGAAUAGACAUUGGAUUUGUUAGUUUUGGAAACGUGAAAUAAAUAAUGAUCCAAAAAGUCUUUGAUAAUGUUGACUGUGUUAUACAUUCUGUGAAUAAAAAUUUGCUCUCAAACACGUAUUCAGGUUUUUUAUUCUGCU